GUUUUGUUUUUUAUGGGUAAUAGCAUUUUUAUGUACAACAUAUUUUCAAAAAAUAAAUUGAACAAUACAUAUUUUAAAUUGUUUUUUGCACAACUUGCUAAGCUCUUGCGAGUGAGCUGCUCUGAGCAUAGACACCAAGCCUCCGCACGAGACACAAAGCGCGUCCUACGGAGCACUUUGCUCAUCUUCUUCUAAAAAACGUUCUCCUCAUCUUCUUUUCAAAUAAAAAAAAGUUGUCUUUAUCUCUUCACUUUGUUCCCGUCAC
rnacentral:lncRNA from 1 species